AUUAGCCUAUGGGAGGCAGCAGUGGGGGAUAUUGCACAAUGGGCGAAAGCCUGAUGCAGCGACGCCGCGUGAGGGAAGACGGUCUCCGGAUUGUAAACCUCUGUCUUUGGGGAAGAAGAUGACGGUACCCAAAGAGGAAGCUCCGGCUAACUACGUGCCAGCAGCCGCGGUAAUACGUAGGGAGCGAGCGUUGUCCGGAAUUACUGGGUGUAAAGGGAGCGUAGGCGGGGAUGCAAGUCUGGAGUGAAAGGCGGGGGCCCAACCCCCGGACAGCUCUGGAACCUGUAUGACUUGAGUGCAGGGAG
rnacentral:rRNA from 1 species